UGGGGAAUAUUGGACAAUGGGGGAAACCCUGAUCCAGCCAUGCCGCGUGUGCGAUGAAGGCUUUCGGGUUGUAAAGCACUUUCAGUCGGGAGGAAAGGGUGCAGGCUAAUACCCUGUGCAGUUGACGUUACCGACAGAAGAAGCACCGGCAAACUCCGUGCCAGCAGCCGCGGUAAUACGGAGGGUGCGAGCGUUAAUCGGAAUUACUGGGCGUAAAGCGCGCGUAGGCGGUUACUUAAGCGAGAUGUGA
rnacentral:rRNA from 1 species